AGUGAACGCUGGCGGUAGGCCUAACACAUGCAAGUCGAACGGCAGCACAAGAGAGCUUGCUCUCUGGGUGGCGAGUGGCGGACGGGUGAGGAAUACAUCGGAAUCUACUCUGUCGUGGGGGAUAACGUAGGGAAACUUACGCUAAUACCGCAUACGACCUACGGGUGAAAGCAGGGGACCUUCGGGCCUUGCGCGGUUGAAUGAGCCGAUGUCGGAUUAGCUAGUUGGCGGGGUAAAGGCCCACCAAGGCGACGAUCCGUAGCUGGUCUGAGAGGAUGAUCAGCCACACUGGAACUGAGACACGGUCCAGACUCCUACGGGAGGCAGCAGUGGGGAAUAUUGGACAAUGGGCGCAAGCCUGAUCCAGCCAUACCGCGUGGGUGAAGGAGGCCUUCGGGUUGUAAAGCCCUUUUGUUGGGAAAGAAAUCCAGCUGGUUAAUACCCGGUUGGGAUGACGGUACCCAAAGAAUAAGCACCGGCUAACUUCGUGCCAGCAGCCGCCGUAA
rnacentral:rRNA from 1 species